CAGCAGCCGCGGUAAUACGUAGGGUGCAAGCGUUAAUCGGAGUUACUGGGCGUAAAGCGUGCGCAGGCGGUUAUAUAAGUCAGAUGUGAAAUCCCCGGGCUCAACCUGGGAACUGCAUUUGAGACUGUAUGGCUAGAGUGCGUCAGAGGGGGGUAGAAUUCCACGUGUAGCAGUGAAAUGCGUAGAUAUGUGGAGGAAUACCGAUGGCGAAGGCAGCCCCCUGGGACAACACUGACGCUCAUGCACGAAAGCGUGGGGAGCAAACAGGAUUAGAUACCCCAGUAGUCCCUGUCUCUUAUAC
rnacentral:rRNA from 1 species